rnacentral:misc_RNA from 1 species
UUAAGUUCAGCGGGUAGUCCUACCUGAUUUGAGGUCAGAGUCAAAAAUUGCCCGAGGGCGAUUGUAAGCAGUCAUCACAACCUUCACCGACGAAACUUAUUACGCCAGAUAGCAAUAGUAAAACUUGCUAACUCCUUUAAGAGGAGCCAUUUAGAAUGGCAACCUCCAAAUCCAAGCCAUUAAGAAACCCUAAUGGUUGA